UGCGUCGAUUCACGAUUAACGAUUUUGGGCGACCAGUUUGUUUUUAGCGGACACCCAAGUUCCAAGUUCCGAAAGUGCCGCUGAAUGGAACCCGCAAAUCUCUCAUCCGUUUCUUCAGCGGAAAGAGGCGACGGUGAUUCUUCACCACUGAUAAGAUGCCCCAUUCUCAUUCUUCGGUUUCAUAUGCUAAUGCAUCGGUCAGCCUUCGCUUAAUUAGCCGUUUCGUUUUCGGUCUUAUCAAAAUUUAUCAAAUGCGAUUCUUCUGGCGGAUCAGUGUCUGUCUGGGUGUCUUCGGGGCUUGGUGUCUUGCGUUCUUCUUAAGAUCGUGAGAUCUUGGGCUCAGAAAUGCCAUUUGACCAUUUCGGACCGCACAGGGUCAUCGGAUUUUCGCUUUCGCUCUAAAAGUAAACAGUUUAUACAAAUCCUGAUAUAUGGCAAAAUGGCUUAUCAAACUGUUUUAAAAACACAAUGACACACAUAUACACCCAAAAUUCAAGAUUUUGCAAACAUAUUUUGACUGGAUUUAUGGCUAUCAGCAAUCAAGUCAAUCACAUUUUGGCUUCCCAUCGAGGGGAUGAGAUUGAAAUCAAACCGGACCGGACACGCAGCUCUAAUGAUAAUCGCUAAUGGUGCCUCUAAUUUAAGUUUUAUGCUUAAUAACUUAAACGAAUGCCGCACGGCAUUCAUUUUUCAUCCGAAAAGAAGUAUCUCUUAUUUUUGGCCAGUUGAUUCUUCUUCUGGGGUUGGCUGUGUGAUCUUCUUGGCCUAAUGAAAACGUUUUUGGCCAUUUCAGCGACUUGUCAAAUGUGUGAUGGCUGUUAGUUAGUCAGUCGGCUGGCUCACUUAGUUAGUUCGCCUUGGAAUUUAGCCUGGUGUUUCUGAUUUCUGAUGUUUGAUGUCUGCUGUUUCGUCCGUGUCUUUGAUAUCAAAUCGCAUUUGUUAUGCAUACUUGCACACGCCCCAGAGUUUUGUCUUCGAUCUGUGAUCUGCGAGCCGAUCUUGAUGGCUCACUUAGAGACCAUGUCCAAGCAAACGAGUUAACAAAAAGUCCGCCCAAAAGGGAGUGGUCGUCUGUGUCCGUCCAAUCGAUCUGACUCAUCAUCUCGAUCUAUCACCCCAUUAAUUGUCAUCGCCUUAAUUCCAAGUAAAAGGCUGCAGCUGCCGUAUUAAUUACCAUGCGAUUAACGUGAAUUUUUUAACUUUA